GUCGAAGGUUAAACUUUGAUAUAUUUUGGUAAUACAAAUUUGCGUGGCAAAUUUGAUUUUGUUUCGGUAUGUCUUGAGGCGGUUCUGACUGUUGAUCGGAAGUGAAACGCAAUGAAGUAAAAUACCAAACAAAAGAUGGCAUUGAAAAGUUCCUGUAUUUGUCUGUAGCAGUCAACUAAUAAAAUGUGAAACGGCGUAUUUAACACAAAACUUGUA
rnacentral:lncRNA from 1 species